rnacentral:rRNA from 1 species
AUACGUAGGGUGCAAGCGUUAAUCGGAAUUACUGGGCGUAAAGCGUGCGCAGGCGGUUUUGUAAGAAAGAGGGGAAAUCCCCGGGCUCAAACUGGGAACUGCCUUUGUGACUGCAAGGCGAAAGGACGGCAGAGGGGGAUGGAAUUUCGCGGGUAGCAGUGAAAUGCGUAGAUAUGCGGAGGAACACCGAUGGCGAAGGCAAUCCCCUGGGCCUGUACUGACGCUCAUGCACGAAAGCGUGGGGAGCAAACAGGAUUAGAUACCCUGGUAGUCCACGCCCUAAACGAUGUCAACUGGUUGUUGGGUCUUCAUUGACUCAGUAACGAAGCUAACGCGUGAAGUUGACCGCCUGGGGAGUACGGCCGCAAGGUUGAAACUCAAAUGAAUUGACGGGG